rnacentral:rRNA from 1 species
GCAUGAAGUAGCAAUUAAAGGAGCAAUCCGCUAUGAGAUGGGCCCGCGGCGCAUUAGCUAGUUGGUGAGGUAACGGCUCACCAAGGCGACGAUGCGUAGCCGACCUGAGAGGGUGAUCGGCCACAUUGGGGCUGAGACACGGCCCAGACUCCUACGGGAGGCAGCAGUGGGGAAUAUUGCACAAUGGGGGAAACCCUGAUGCAGCAACGCCGCGUGAGUGAUGACGGCCUUCGGGUUGUAAAGCUCUGUCUUCAGGGACGAUAAUGACGGUACCUGAGGAGGAAGCCACGGCUAACUACGUGCCAGCAGCCGCGGUAAUACGUAGGUGGCGAGCGUUGUCCGGAUUUACUGGGCGUAAAGGGAGCGUAGGCGGACUUUUAAGUGAGAUGUGAAAUACUCGGGCUCAACUUGAGUGCUGCAUUUCAAACUGGAAGUCUAGAGUGCAGGAGAGGAGAAUGGAAUUCCUAGUGUAGCGGUGAAAUGCGUAGAGAUUAGGAAGAACACCAGUGGCGAAGGCGAUUCUCUGGACUGUAACUGACGCUGAGGCUCGAAAGCGUGGGGAGCAAACAGGAUUAGAUACCCUGGUAGUCCACGCCGUAAACGAU